rnacentral:rRNA from 1 species
CCUACGGGCGGCAGCAGUGAGGAAUAUUGGACAAUGGGUGGAAGCCUGAUCCAGCCAUCCCGCGUGAAGGAUGACGGUCCUAUGGAUUGUAAACUUCUUUUGUACAGGGAUAAACCUGCCCUCGUGAGGGCAGCUGAAGGUACUGUACGAAUAAGCACCGGCUAACUCCGUGCCAGCAGCCGCGGUAAUACGGAGGGUGCGAGCGUUAUCCGGAUUUAUUGGGUUGAAGGCGUCCCUGGACGUGCCUGUAGAAAUCUCAUAGCUUAACUAUGAAACUGCCAUUGAUACUGCAGGCCUUGAGUAAAUUUGAAGUGGCUGGAAUAAGUAGUGUAGCGGUGAAAUGCAUAGAUAUUACUUAGAACACCGAUUGCGAAGGCAGGUCACUAAGAUUUAACUGACGCUGAUGGACGAAAGCGUGGGGAGCGAACAGGAUUAGAUACCCUAGUAGUC